GGACUACUGGGGUAUCUAAUCCCGUUCGCUCCCCUGGCUUUCGCGCCUCAGCGUCAGAAGGGGUCCAGCACGCCGCUUUCGCCACCGGCGUUCCUUCGGAUAUCUACGCAUUUCACCGCUCCACCCGAAGUUCCGCAUGCCCCUACCCCCCUCGAGGUCCCCAGUAUCGGAGGCGAUUUUCCGGUUGGGCCGAAGGAUUUCACCCCCGACUUGAGGACCCGCCUACGCGCCCUUUAAGCCCAGUGAAUCCGAACAACGCUGGCCCCCUACGUCUUACCGCGGCUGCUGGCAC
rnacentral:rRNA from 2 species